rnacentral:rRNA from 1 species
UGGGGAAUUUUGGACAAUGGGCGAAAGCCUGAUCCAGCAAUGCCGCGUGUGUGAAGAAGGCCUUCGGGUUGUAAAGCACUUUUGUCCGGAAAGAAAUCCUUGGCUCUAAUACAGUCGGGGGAUGACGGUACCGGAAGAAUAAGCACCGGCUAACUACGUGCCAGCAGCCGCGGUAAUACGUAGGGUGCAAGCGUUAAUCGGAAUUACUGGGCGUAAAGCGUGCGCAGGCGGUUUGCUAAGACCGAUGUGAAAUCCCCGGGCUCAACCUGGGAACUGCAUUGGUGACUGGCAGGCUAGAGUAUGGCAGAGGGGGGUAGAAUUCCACGUGUAGCAGUGAAAUGCGUAGAGAUGUGGAGGAAUACCGAUGGCGAAGGCAGCCCACGUCAGGUCCAAUACUGACGCUCAUGCACGAAAGCGUGGGGGAGCAAACAGGAUUAGAUACCCUGGUAGUCCACGCCCUAAACGAUGUCAACUAGUUGUUGGGGAUUCAUUUCCUUAGUAACGUAGCUAACGCGUGAAGUUGACCGCCU